UACGUAGGGGGCAAGCGUUGUCCGGAUUUAUUGGGCGUAAAGAGCGUGUAGGCGGCCAGGUAGGUCUGCUGUGAAAACUCGAGGCUUAACCUCGAGCUGUCGGCGGAAACCAUCUGGCUAGAGUCCGGAAGAGGAGAAUGGAAUUCCCGGUGGUAGCGGUGAAAUGCGCAGAUAUCGGGAAGAACACCCGUGGCGAAGGCGGUUCUCUGGGACGGUACUGACGCUGGAGCACGCGAAAGCGUGGGGAGCGAACAGG
rnacentral:rRNA from 1 species